CAGUGGCGGACGGGUGCGUAACACGUACGCAAGCUACCUAAGGGUGGGGGACAACCCGGGGAAACCCAGGCUAAUACCCCAUAAUGCAGCGGCCCCGCAUGGGGAUGUUGUUAAAGAUUUAUUGCCUUUAGAUGCGCGUGCGUCCGAUUAGCUAGUUGGUGAGGUAAUGGCUCACCAAGGCGACGAUCGGUAGCUGGUCUGAGAGGAUGAUCAGCCACACUGGCACUGAGACACGGGCCAGACUCCUACGGGAGGCAGCAGUAGGGAAUAUUGGGCAAUGGGCGGAAGCCUGACCCAGCCAUGCCGCGUGAACGAUGAAGGUCCAUCGGAUUGUAAAGUUCUUUUCUCUGGGGAUAAAGACCCAUUUGAUGGGAGUUGAAGGUACCAGAGGAAUAAGCACCGGCUAACUACGUGCCAGCAGCCGCGGUAAUACGUAGGGUGCAAGCGUUGUCCGGAUUUACUGGGUUUAAAGGGUGCGUAGGCGGAGCGGUCAGUCGGUGAUGAAAUNNNNNNNCUCAACCUUACCCGCUGUUACCGAUACUGCCGUUCUUGAGUUCAGCAGAGGUGGCUGGAAUGAGCAGUGUAGCGGUGAAAUGCGUAGAUAUUGCUCAGAACACCAAUUGAGAAGUCAGGCCACUGGGCUGCAACUGACGCUGAGGCACGAAAGCGUGGGGAUCAAACAGGAUUAGAUACCCUGGUAGUCCACGCUGUAAACGAUGGGUACUAGAUAUCUCUACGUUGGUAGGGGUGUCCAAGCGAAAGCGAUAAGUACCCCACCUGGGGAGUACGCUCGCAAGGGUGAAACUCAAAAGAAUUGACGGGGGCCCGCACAAGCGGUGGAGCAUGUGGUUUAAUUCGAUGGUACACGAGGAACCUUACCUGGGCUAGAAUGUGCGUGAUCGCCUCUGAAAGGGGGUUUACCCGCAAGGGACACAAAACAAGGUGCUGCAUGGCUGUCGUCAGCUCGUGCCGUGAGGUGUUGGGUUAAGUCCCGCAACGAGCGCAACCCCUGUCGUUAGUUACCAGCAGGUUAAGCUGGGUACUCUGACGAGACUGCCUUCGUAAGGAGUGAGGAAGGAGGGGACGACGUCAAGUCAUCAUGGCCCUUACGCCCAGGGCUACACACGUGCUACAAUGGCCGGUACAAAGGGUUGCCAACGCGCAAGCGGGAGCGAAUCUCAGAAAACCGGUCUCAGUUCGGAUCGUGGUCUGCAACUCGACCACGUGAAGUCGGAAUCGCUAGUAAUCGUAGAUCAGCUAUGCUACGGUGAAUACGUUCCCGGGCCUUGUACACACCGCCCGUCAAGCCAUGG
rnacentral:rRNA from 1 species